CACGGGGGGAGCAAGCGUUGUUCGGAAUCACUGGGCGUAAAGGGCGUGCAGGCGGUCAGGUAAGUGGGAUGUGAAAUGCCCCGGCUCACCCGGGGACCGGCAUCUCAUACUGCUUGGCUUGAGUACGGGAGAGGAUGUGGGAAUUCCUGGUGUAGCGGUGAAAUGCGUAGAUAUCAGGAGGAACACCGGUGGCGAAGGCGCACAUCUGGCCCGAUACUGACGCUCAUGUGCGAAAGCGUGGGGAGCAAACAGG
rnacentral:rRNA from 1 species